rnacentral:rRNA from 1 species
AACGAACGCUGGCGGCAGGCUUAACACAUGCAAGUCGAACGCUCCGCAAGGAGAGUGGCAGACGGGUGAGUAACGCGUGGGAACCUUCCUAUUGGUUCGGAAUAGCUCAGGGAAACUUGGGGUAAUACCGGAUAAGCCCUAUGGGGGAAAGGAUUUAUCGCCAAUAGAUGGGCCCGCGUCUGAUUAGCUAGUUGGUGAGGUAAUGGCUCACCAAGGCGACGAUCAGUAGCUGGUUUGAGAGAAUGACCAGCCACACUGGGACUGAGACACGGCCCAGACUCCUACGGGAGGGCAGCAGUGGGGGAAUCUUGGACAAUGGGCGCAAGCCUGAUCCAGCCAUGCCGCGUGAGUGACG